AGGGGAGUAGCUCAACUGGUAGAGUAGCGGACUCCAAAUCCGUUGGUUGCGGGUUCAAGUCCUGCCUCCCCUG
rnacentral:tRNA from 1 species